UCCAGCCACGACCCGCCGUCAAGCAACAGCACAGCCAGCAACCAACCAAACAGCAGGAAGUAUUCUAGUCACAACACUCCUCACUGCUGCGGCCUACCACAUCCUGCGCUGUCUAUGCUCGCCAGCAACGACCCUAACUAGACACCGGCCGGCCUCAACCUGCGCGCCGCCGCCGCUUCUAGGGCGGGGCCGCGCUGUCCUCUCCGCUACGCACAUGCACGCCGCAACUGCUGGGCCCAGGGCUGCUGCCGCCGUCAGGCCCUGUACCGCUGCUGCUGCCGCAGCUGCUGGUGGGGCCGGGCCCUGCACCAGCACGAUCCGUAAACUGCAUGGGGGCGCGUGGCGUCGCGGCCCUGCGGUGCGACGUGAUCGAGCAUGCAGCUGUGUAAGCGUUAGUCCAGAGCUCAUCAGGACCCGCUAGGGAGAAUGCGCCGUGCGUGCGUUUCUCACUGGCUUUGAAACAGGGGUGCGGCCCCCCUGGUCCCCUGCUGGCCAGCUGGCCUCCUCCCGCUUUCAGUGCCUGGUGCAUCUUCCCUUGUCUCCCCAUCUCCUCUUGGGCAACCCAUGUCCUGCGAUGUGUGUGUCUACGACCAGGUCCAGCACCAACGUCAAAAAUUGCCAGCUACAGGUCGUGCUCUACGGACAGGCACGCACCUUGGGGGCCCACGCACCCUUGCGGGCCCACGCACCGGCGCACCGCCCACCACACCAUAAUAACCGCUAAGCGUGCGAUGUCAUGCUGAGUGUACCGUACGGCAUGAAGGGAAGACUGUACCUGCAGGGAGUGCUGUGGAUUGAAGCAUACGAAUCUCCUGGUCUGGUCAGUAAAAGAGGUGCCCGUGGCUGGUGCCUACAGCAUCGAUUUCCUUGAGAAUGUGCAGAUGUGCUUAAUCUGCAUGACCUGCCCAGACCUCAACCUACAGUCGGUGUAAUGUGGAUGCCCAGGAUGCCCCGCCCGCAUGCACAUGGUCAGGCCGGAAAGGGAUGAGAGCCGAGCAGGUAGCCCGCUGCCUGACGGGCAAAUAGUAUCCGCCUUGCUUGUGAGAGAGCGAGUCUAAUUAAGGCGUGGAAGCAUGAGCGGCUGCAGUGUGAGCCAAGCACUUUCCCAUCGGACAACAAGCAACCAGGCGUACAGAUAAGCAAGUUCAAGCAUUGGAUUGGGCUGUGUAAGGAAGGAGCGGCACCGCUGACCAUGCAAGAGCACAGUAGAGCAUAUAUACCAGUUGCGCAUCACAAGACCUUCAUGAGGUUCCACCUAUGCUGCUGGCCGCUUACUGCCAACCGCGCCUAUGGACAACCUAGGGAGGAGAGGAUUUGCCCGUUAUUAUGUGUCGCAAAUGAAGUUGGAUAUGAGAAUCAUGUGCUUACGCGGUGUAAGGCCUACGACCAGUUGCGCACGGUUAGCGAGAUCGAAUUUUCAGCAGGCCGUUAUGCAGAAUACGACCCCAGCCAGGUUAGCCGCGUUACUAGCUGCAUAUAUAAGUGUUGCAGGCGUUAUAAGGGCCCCCCCGGCCCGGGCCUCGGUUUCUACAGGGACAGGAAUGCACGUCGUGCUCACCACGUUGUAACCACACACAACAACAACAUUACGGCGUGCCGUGCCUGUACAAACCGACCCUGGCUAUGUCCGGGAGAUAAGGUAGACGCUUGCGGCCUCAGAGUAGAUACGUGGCUCAGCCCACUUGUCUCAUGCUGACUCAUGCGCAGGAAUUGGUAACAGGCUCCGGCCAAGUUCGCUGCUAUGGAAUUAGUGAUUUCCACCAACCUAGCGUAGCAGUACGGUAUUGUCGACGUUGAGUCCGCAUGCGGCGCAGCGUGCAAGAUCCUCUACCUGUAUGCGCAUACCGUAUCGGACAAGCAGGCUCUGGCGGUGGCAAGAGUGUCUGCGAAUGCACCAGAGCUGCUGAAGCUGUGUUUGAAACUGAGCCCUCCACUUGAAACCAAAGCAGUGCCAAUCGACUCCUCUUGAGGAGCGCUAUCACGCUGUACCAUCGGCGGUUCUGUUUCUGUGAUAGACUUCGGUCACACGCGGGUUCGUUCCUAUCCAUGGAAAUCCCGUCGAGUCAGCCCACCCCGCGCUCAACUCUCUGCCGUGUGACGAAUGGAAUGUGUGCACCGGCAUCCUUGUCAGACGCGAGUUCAUGCGUUUAAGAGCCCAGGCGUGUCAGCAGUGCGCUUGUGUCGAAGGUAGGGACAUUUGCCGACAUACGUGUCCACGCCAUGACGCGCAGCUUAGCCCUCCCACGGUUUGCUUGUGCUUAUUACGGCGUACGUUCACAUAUGAGCCUCGUAGUGCUGCGUUCUGCCCCGAGUUCUGCUUGUGGGGCGCUUCCCGAAAUCCGCCAGGAUGGGCUCCCGAAACCUGGCGGACCCCAAGGGACGAGGACCAACCCCCCAAAUUUGACGGCCCAGAACUUCCUCACCAGACCACCUCUGACAAAACUAAAGUACGUGCAUAAUGCUCUCCUAAAGCUCUGUAAUUUUGAGCAUGGGGUAAGAAUCUGAGCUUUCUACCCCCCCCUGGAAACGCCCCAAAAUGUCUUCUGCGAUUCUCAAAAAGACCCCCCAAAACCUGAAGCGUUUUGACAGAUUUUUGGCCUCAAGAAUACAAAAUUUCUGGCACACGUCCGGCGCCACCCAGCCUUGAAGCGGCCGUCGCUCUACUCGUCGGCCGUCGCUCUACUCUCCUAAAAUCUACAGUUUAGAGCAUGGGAUAAGGCUCUGAGCUUUCUACCCCCCGGACAGGCAGCCGAAUGCCGAAGAGAACACCCACUAUAGCAGCUGGUGCGGCUGGUGCAGCACGGACUUACAAGACGCAGAGUUGGAAUGCAAAGUUUGAGGACUGGGUGAACAGGAACCGACGCGAGGUCCACCUUGCCGGCACGCACCUUGUGUCCUGGCUUGGUGCCCAGGUCCGCCAAGUUACGUUGAUGUGACCCCAGUCUGCUUCCUGCCACAGUCGGCAUAGCAUAAUGGCAGCAGCCUCGCUCUUAGAUGAUACGUGUGAAGAGGACUACUAAAUCGUGCGAUACGGACUCCCUUAGUCUGUUGAAAGUAGCCCAUGGGAAGAGCGAGAAGACGAAGGGUUGCGAGCGACCGUUGCGCGCAGCGAGCGUCGCCCCUGGCGAGCGUUGCCAGGACCAUUCUCCCCCAACCGCCCCCCCCCUCCCUCUCGCCCCCCGCAGACCGGUGGACACCAGAUGUCCGAGGCCGCACACUGAUGAAGGCUGGAUGCUGGUGGAGGGACAUGGCUGGGAGGUGCAGCGCGCUGACACGGCGGUGCGGUAGCUAGGGUUCAUGGCGUCCUUGAUGUGACAAUUCAUGGCUCACCGUCACAAUGGGAUCAAAUGCUUAAAACAUUCAACAGCACUUCAUGGACGCAUGACAUGGCUCUAUCGG
rnacentral:lncRNA from 1 species